UAAUAUCAGAAAUUAUGUCAGCUUUACGGUAUCUUUGCCUUUGCUGCCACAGUCUGACUCUAAUCCAUUGUCAUAGGCACACACUGGAAUAAAAGCAAAAACAAAAAAAAAGUCUCAAGAGCAAUUAAUAUUGGCAGCUUUGCUGUUUGGCUCUGCACAGAGUCUGGACUUCAACACACUGCUUUAGUACUUCAGUGCCCCACGUUCUGCUGCUUCUGAGGGAAGGACUGAAUUACCUUGGCUCAGGAGCAGCACAAGAGAAUCUGGGACAACUGCUUAUUUUGUUGUGUCUGUUCUGUGGCUAAGCACUCCCCAGAGCUAUUAGAACUUGAAUGAGCACUUGCUUCUGUACAAUGAUGUGACAGGAAAAAGCUACAACAGAUUUCUAUGCUCACUGGAGUACCACUGCCCACAUAUUCAAGUAGGAAUAGAAAUAAUCAGGAACUAGAACUACAGAAGGAAGAUUACAACUUGACUUCCAAAAAAGAUUUCUGGACAUCAGUUUCCUUAGGUUCAUGAGCCAAUCCAGAGAGUACAGACUUAGAAACAGCUAAUAGCCAUGUUAGCUAAAUGGAGCCCCCACACACAGAAGGCAGAAUAUGGAAUAUAUGGAGAUGUUGUGGACAAUCAGCAUCAGAAGGGCCACCACCUUCAUGUCCUGUUUCUGAGUUAGCAGAGGCAUUCAAGCACCGUUGCUGGAAAUGGAAUGUUGGAAUAGAGGGACUUCGAUCUGAUCUAGCAAAUCAAGUCUUCCGUUAUCAGCUGGUCCAAAGACAGACAAGAGGAAGAAGUCAUCUAUAAGUUGAACCAAGCCUUUCAAAAUAUACUGGGCAUUAUUCAAAGACUCAUGCACGCAGAUGUUUUCUUUUUCUUGGGUAUGAAAGAACAUAGUAAAUAAGCACAUAGCUACAGACUAGAGCCCUAUUCACAUGUUAUGUUCAAUACACUUACAGUCUGUACAGCAUAAGUAUGUACUGAAUGCGCACACAUGUAUUCACACACAUUAUAUUCAUUGCACAUACAGUAGUACAUUUCCCCAUUGUACCUUGCAUUUGAAGAGGCCUGUAUCCAGGCUCACUUUUAAAAUAAAUGCAUGUACAUUACACACAAAAGUGUGUGCAAGUGUACAUACAAGUGUAUGCACAUACAAUGUAAUAUCUGAAUGGGGUUUAGGCAUGCAUGCAUUGUGUGUAUCAGCCUACCGCCUGAUGUCUGUACAUGAUGCUGGUGUAUGUAGGACAAUGAAUUCAUUAGUGAUGGGUCAAACAACUAUCAUGAUACUUUGCCCCCUUUCACAGCAUAAUCAUGAAACAAUGGGCUUGGUGAGAAAAAGGAACAAGUCACAUCUCCUCAAUCACACCAUUCAGUCUUUACUAUUGUCCAUCAACCAAAGUCAUAUUAACUAGGUUUAUGAAAUUAUCAAAAGUUGUCAGCCAUGCAUCUUAGUUGGUUGUUACAGUCUGGAUUAAGUCAUUCAACAUGUUAAUAUUGUGGUAAGCUAUAAAGUCAGGAACUAACGACAUGUUACAUUUUUAUUUUUAUUUUUAAGAGCAGCUUUGAGAAGACAGGGAAUCACAGCAGAUAAGCAGCAAAAGGAUGCAAGACUCAUCCUCUCUGUUGGCUAUUUUUCCACGCAAAAUGCCCCCAGCUGCUCCCACCACAGGAUUCCAAAUGCACAUUUAAGAGACUCUUCAACCCCCCUAUAUAACCUCUAGUGUGGACCUACUGCCCAAACUACACAUUACACUUGCAACCAGGAGAAUAAUUCUUCUCUGUUGCUAAGUGAACUUUGCACUGUUUUUACAAAAGAGAAAAGGUAGAAGGGAAAGGAAGCGCUUUGUCCUUCCCCUUCCAGUCACUUUUAUCCUAACCUCCCUCCCCCGACUACUGUUUUUAUACUCAGGCCAGGUGUUCAAGAUAUGUGUUUGCAAGGUGAGCAAGGGUCUGAAGAACAAACAGGAAUAAAAAUGAGUUUUGGUAUUGGGGAGGGGGGAUAUUUUAGGUUAAGCAACUAACAGGGAAAGAGUUAAACACUCCGUUUCCUCUUGACUUUCUGAUCUCUGGAAAGUGUCUCUUCUUGAGGUCACUUUGCUAUGAAAACAAAUAAUUUGGGCUUUAUCACACAUCGCUGCAAUGCUGCAGUGUGGCCAUACAGGAAUAGUUUUAUGCUAUUUCCCUUUUCUUGCUCUGGACCACAGAGUCCCUGCCUCCCUCUACUCUGGCCAAUACAAAAAUAUAAUUAUCUAAAUUAGUACUUUUGUGAAAUCGGAGACUCUAUGUUUAUUUCUGCUCAGCAUUAUAGACCAUGAAGAGGUCUGAAGGGGUUCCUGGCUGGUACUCCUAAUACAGAAUAAAUGACAUGGAUUUUCUUGCUAUUCUGCCAGUAUGUACUUUCUCCCUGCUCUCCAACCACUGCUAGUACAGCCUUCAUGACCAUUCAAUCCUUCUAUUUUUCCUUUAUUAUAUAAAGGAAAAGGAAGGAGCUGCAUGCUGUUCAACUGGUAUUGACAACUAUUGUCAUGCCAACCUCAAGGCAAAAUCAAUACAAUACCUUUUACUAAAAUAGCUUAUGUAGGUUAAAGGGAAGACAAGGUUUUGAACUAGAAAUAAUUCAUUGUUAGGAAGAUGACCCUUGUGGAGGAUUUCAGUGCCAUUCAAAAACUUGUUGCCUUUUCCUCCAUACAAGUUAGCCCCUGGGGGGGUGUGUGUGUGGAAAGAAGAUAGCUAAAGGUGGUAUGACAGAGCACAUCCAUUUUUGCUAUAAUCUCUGGAGGGGGAAACAGGUUUGGCAGGUUUUUGAAACAUCACAUCACAAAAGUCUACAAAACCUGUUUCAUUAAGUUGAAUAGGAUAAAUGUGUACAUCAUGGCCUGGCCUUUCAGGGUUUUUAAUUAGUUUUAAUUGUUUUAAUGCUAACCUGGUUUUUAGGGUUUUAAUUGUUUUGAUAGUUUGUUUUUUAAGAUGUUUUUAAAUUGGUGUUUAUAUCUGUAUUUCUGUUUUAAUUGUUUUUAAUGAUUUCUGCUUUUAAUUGUAAACCACCCUGAGCCAGCUCGGAAGGGCGGUAUAAAAAUCGAAUAGAAAAAUAAAUAAAUAAAUAGCCCAUGUCAUACAA